rnacentral:rRNA from 1 species
AUUGAACGCUGGCGGCAGGCCUAACACAUGCAAGUCGAACGAGCGGCGGACGGGUGAGUAAUGUCUGGGAAACUGCCUGAUGGAGGGGGAUAACUACUGGAAACGGUAGCUAAUACCGCAUACCAUCAGAUGUGCCCAGAUGGGAUUAGCUAGUAGGGGGGGUAAUGGCUCACCUAGGCGAAGAUCCCUAGCUGGUCUGAGAGGAUGACCCGCCACACUGGAACUGAGACACGGUCCAGACUCCUACGGGAGGCAGCAGUGGGGAAUAUUGCACAAUGGGCGCAAGCCUGAUGCAGCCAUGCCGCGUGUGUGAAGAAGGCCUUCGGGUUGUAAAGUACUUUCAGCGAGGAGGCGUUACCCGCAGAAGAAGCACCGGCUAACUCCGUGCCAGCAGCCGCGGUAAUAC